UACGAAGGGGGCAAGCGUUGUUCGGAAUUACUGGGCGUAAAGGGCGCGUAGGCGGCUUGACAAGUCGAGUGUGAAAUCCCCGGGCUUAACCUGGGACCUGCAUUCGAAACUGUCUUGCUAGAGUAUGGGAGAGGGAAGUGGAAUUUCAGGUGUAGCGGUGAAAUGCGUAGAUAUCUGAAGGAACAUCAGUGGCGAAAGCGACUUCCUGGACCAAUACUGACGCUCAGGUGCGAAAGCGUGGGGAGCAAACAGG
rnacentral:rRNA from 1 species